AUUGAACGCUGGCGGCAGGCCUUACACAUGCAAGUCGAGCGGAGCGGCGGACGGGUGAGUAUUGCCUAGGUAUCUGCCUGGCUGUGGGGGAUAACGUCCGGAAACGGGCGCUAAUACUGCACACUAUCAGCUGUGCCUCGGGGGGAUUCGUUAGUUGGUGGGGUAAAGGCCUACCAAGGCGACGACCCGUAACUGGUCUGAGAGGAUGAGCAGUCACACUGGGACUGAGACACGGUCCAGACUCCUACGGGAGGCAGCAGUGGGGAAUAUUGGACAAUGGGCGAAAGCCUGAUCCAGCCAUGCCGCGUGUGUGAAGAAGGUCUUCGGAUUGUAAAGCACUUUAAGUUGGGAGGCGGUACCAACAGAAUAAGCACCGGCUAACUUCGUGCCAGCGGCCGCGGUAAUUC
rnacentral:rRNA from 1 species